rnacentral:rRNA from 1 species
UACGUAGGGGCCGAGCGUUGUCCGGAGUUAUUGGGCGUAAAGCGCGCGCAGGCGGCCUCGCGCGCCCGACGUGAAAGCCCCCGGCUUAACCGGGGAGGGUCGUUGGGGACGGCGGGGCUUGAGUACCGGAGAGGAUGGCGGAAUUCCCCAAGUAGAGGUGAAAUUCGUAGAUAUGGGGAGGAACACCGGUGGCGAAGGCGGCCAUCUGGACGGAUACUGACGCUGAGACGCGAAAGCGUGGGGAGCAAACAGG